UACGGAGGGGGCUAGCGUUGUUCGGAAUUACUGGGCGUAAAGCGCACGUAGGCGGCUUUGCAAGUUAGAGGUGAAAGCCCGGAGCUCAACUCCGGAAUUGCCUUUAAAACUGCAUCGCUAGAAUUGUGGAGAGGUGAGUGGAAUUCCGAGUGUAGAGGUGAAAUUCGUAGAUAUUCGGAAGAACACCAGUGGCGAAGGCGGCUUCCUGGACCGACACUGACGCUGAGGCGCGAAAGCUAGGGGAGCAAACGGG
rnacentral:rRNA from 1 species